UGCCCCUACGGGACGCAGCAGUAGGGAAUCCUCGGCAAUGGACGAAAGUCUGACCGAGCAACGCCGCGUGAGUGAAGAAGGUUUUUGGAUCGUAAAACUCUGUUGGUAGAGAAGAACGUUGGUGAGAGUGGAAAGCUCAUCAAGUGACGGUAACUACCCAGAAAGGGACGGCUAACUACGUGCCAGCAGCCGCGGUAAUACGUAGGUCCCGAGCGUUGUCCGGAUUCAUUGGGCGUAAAGCGAGCGCAGGGGGUUUAUUAAGUCUGGUGUAAAAGGCAGUGGCUCAACCAUUGUAUGCAUUGGAA
rnacentral:rRNA from 1 species